CAAGAAAGUAACAGAAGUGCAAAAACACAGUAAGAACCACACAAAGACGUGCUUUAGGAGUUUAAGCUCCGGGUGCCGUUUUGGUUUUCCUAAACCACCCUGCAAUGAGACAAUGAUCACAAGACCCAGUGAGGAUGAUGAACUGGAGGUAGAAACAGCAAAGAACAAGCUCAGACCACUGAACCAGCUGCUGAAUGAACCUGAAACUGCUUCCAUGAGUUUAGAGCAGCUCUUGGCAAGAUGCAAGUUGACGCAUGCAGAAUAUGAGCGAUACCUGAAUAAAAUGAACACGAGGAGUACGAUCAUACUAAAGCGUGAUCCAAAAGACUCUUGGAUAAACGGCUAUAAUCCACAUCUGCUUGAAGCCUGGAACAGUAAUAUCGACAUAAGCUUUGUUCUAGAUGCUUUCGCCGCAGCAAAUUAUUUAAUGAAAUAUAUAUCAAAAAAAGAGGGCGGGCUAUCUGAGUACCUGAAAACUGUCAUUGAGAACUCCCAUAAGGACAGUGUAAAUGAGUGCGAUGAAAUGAGAGCCGUCAUGCAGGCAUAUUCAAAGAAGCGAGAGAUCAGUGCACAGGAGUGUGUUGCUCGUGCAUGUGGUCUUCACAUGAAGCAAUGUUCACGUGCUGUAAUAUUCAUACCAACUGAUGAUAAUCCUGUGAAAAUGAGUCGUCCCCUGUCAGUUCUGGACAACACAACACCUGAGUCUUCCAAUGUUUGGAUGACAUCUUUGAAUGACAAAUACAAAGCCAGACCUGAAACACCAGAGUAUGAGGAGAUGUGCAUGGCAGACUUUGCUGCUACUUGCAGGAUUGUCUAUGGCCAACAGACAAAAGGUAAAGAUGUUUUGCCCCUUCUCAAUGAGAUGGGAUUUGUGCAAAGGCGCAAAAACGAUAAGCCUGCUAUCAUCAGAUUUCACCGCUGCUCACAAGAAAAACAUCCAGAGCAAUAUUACGGAAGACUGCUUAAACUGUACCUUCCUCAUCGUUCAGACCACGAACUGAAAACGCCAUCUUUGCCAACCUAUCAGGCUUUCUAUGGUGCUGGCUGUGUACAGCUACCAGGUACUGACCGUCUUGAAUACGUGCAACACAUUGUCAAAAGAAACAGAGAGAAAUAUGAGAAAAACAGUGAGGAGAUCGAGAGCGCUGUUGAGGAAUAUGAGCAGAACAGAGGUGUGACUGAUGAAUGGUGUAAUCUGGCACCUGAAUCAGAUCUCGUAAGGUUGCCACUUGUUGAACAAGAAAGAGAGCGAGACAAUGAAAAUGAACAGGAAGAUGUGCCCGACUACAGUCGUCAGGCUGAUGCUUCAACAGAAGUCAGAGCCAUCAGGGAACCCCCUGCUAUUGAUCCCACAUUGUUACGUCAGAUGUUUCAGAAUCUGAAUAAGAAGCAAGCCUGCAUAUUUUAUGCAGUUAGAGACUGGUGCAUUAAAAGAGUCUGUGCUCUAAAUCCAGAGCAGUUUUUCUUUUAUAUUAAUGGUGGUGCUGGAACAGGAAAAUCACAUCUUAUCAAAUGCAUCUACUCAGAAGCAUCUAAGAUACUGAGCAAAGUGCCCAGACAUUCAGACGACGUUGAUAUAUCAAAACCCACUGUCCUGUUAACUGCUUUCACUG
rnacentral:lncRNA from 1 species